rnacentral:rRNA from 1 species
UACGUAGGGGGCAAGCGUUGUCCGGAAUCAUUGGGCGUAAAGAGCGUGUAGGCGGCUCGGUAAGUCCGCUCUGAAAGCCCGGGGGCUCAACCCCGGGAGGCGGGCGGAUACUGUCGGGCUAGAGUCCGGAAGAGGCGAGUGGAAUUCCUGGUGUAGCGGUGAAAUGCGCAGAUAUCAGGAGGGACACCAAUGGCGAAGGCAGCUCGCUGGGACGGUACUGACGCUGAGACGCGAAAGCGUGGGGGAGCAAACAGG